AAAGAAACUUGCCCAAAGUCACACACAAUUGUGGAAUCCAGGCUUCAGCUUCGGUAGCCAGCCUUUAGAGUUCAUGCCUCAAACCUUCAAAUGCAGCAUGCACUUCACUUCCUCCAUCGGCAGUAAAAUGCUUUACAAAUAGAGCUGGCUUUAUUUUUUUCAGCUGUUACUGACAUUUCCAGAGUGUGGAAUUAAGUGUCUUAGGCCCUGCUCACAGCAUGUUUGUGGUUGCUAGGGUUUUCAUGCAGGAAAGGUUGGGGGUGAUGGUUGUGUCUACUGUGUACUGAGGGUCUAAUGUCACUUCUUACAAAGCCAUGCAAGAUGAGGGAGCUGAGACCAGGAGAACUAAAGUGACACCCCACAGCCACGGAGCUCAUAAACUGAACAUCUGGGAUUUGAAUUUGAGUCUCAUCUGAUUCCGCACUUUCCAUGCAAGGCUUCUUAGACUGUAAAGAGAAGCUGGGUAACUUGAUAGUUAAGAGUUGGGCUCUAGAAACUGAGUUCAUAGCCCAUUUCUGCCACUUCUUAGCUGUGUGACCUUGGGCAGAUAACUUUGCCUCUCUGGGCUUUGGUUUGCUCAUUUGUAAAGUGGAGAUGACAAUAGUAUCUACUCAUAGGGUUAUGAUGAGGUGCCUGUGUGUUAACACAAGGACAGCACGGGUCAGUGGCACAUGGUAUGCUCUCAGUGGUUAUUAACGUAACAAUCCCAGGCCUGGGGCAAGAGCGCAGUACUUGACUCAAGGUUUGCAUUGCUUAGGGGAGGCAUGAGACCCAGAAACCAGAAAGAUUCACACACAGGUGGGGAAUUUUUUCAGGGAAGACCUGACCAGGAGGCAAGCAGUAAAGGAAGAACUUCUGGGAGGGUGGAGUGAAGCCCAGGAGACUCAGACGCGAUAAAUGGGAAAGAGUCCAGUUGGGCCGGGGAGUUAGUGUCGGGGACCCAGAGUUAGGUGGCACCUAGUGCUCCUUCCUAGGGUUGUGCACAGUGUUCAGAGGGUCUGACAGUGUCGGUGGGAGGCCCAACCAGGCAGUCAGUAUAAGGGUCUGGAAAGGGUUUGGCAGUGAAGAGUACAGACAUGGCCACUGGCUAAGAACUUUGAGGCAGGACUCUACUUUCUGGAUAAACAAGGGCCAGGGAAGCAAUGAUGUGAGCUGAUGGGGCUGGUAUCAACUAGCUAAUCUAAUGAGCUAAGUAUGUUUAUUAGAGUAGGAGCUUGGUAACAGGUAAAUCUUAUUAGCCUUUGUAGACAUCACUGUGCCAAGACUGUGACAAGGAGAGUGAGGCCCUCACCUUAGGCACAAAAUUUAAGGGAGUGCCUAAAAAACCCAAUACUCCAGAUAAAUAAUAUUUUAAUGCAAUAUUUUCAACAUCCAAAUUAGUGCAAAAAAUCCAUGAGAAGCAAAAUAUCAAAAUAAUCAAUGAAGACAGAACCUGUAUUAUUGAUUUUUCUUUUUCCCCAGGCUUCAGUAGGUCCAGCCAGGCACUGCAGACAAUGCCUCGAACACACACCUUUUGGUGCUCUUCUCCCUGACCCUCCUUCCAUAUUCAUCCUAAAUGACAAGACCUUUCCU